GUUAUAUGGUCAAGUGAAGAAGCGCAUACGGUGGAUGCCUUGGCAGUCAGAGGCGAUGAAAGACGUGGUAGCCUGCGAAAAGCUUCGGGGAGUCGGCAAACAGACUUUGAUCCGGAGAUGUCUGAAUGGGGGAACCCAGCCAUCAUAAGAUGGUUAUCUUGUACUGAAUACAUAGGUGCAAGAGGCGAACCAGGGGAACUGAAACAUCUAAGUACCCUGAGGAAAAGAAAUCAACCGAGAUUCCCUUAGUAGUGGCGAGCGAACGGGGACUAGCCCUUAAGUGGCUUUGAGAUUAGCGGAACGCUCUGGAAAGUGCGGCCAUAGUGGGUGAUAGCCCUGUACGCGAAAAUCUCUUAGUCAUGAAAUCGAGUAGGACGGAGCACGAGAAACUUUGUCUGAAUAUGGGGGGACCAUCCUCCAAGGCUAAAUACUACUGACUGACCGAUAGUGAACUAGUACCGUGAGGGAAAGGCGAAAAGAACCCCGGAGAGGGGAGUGAAAUAGAUCCUGAAACCGUAUGCGUACAAGCAGUGGGAGCCCACUUUGUUGGGUGACUGCGUACCUUUUGUAUAAUGGGUCAGCGACUUAUUUUCAGUGGCGAGCUUAACCGAAUAGGGGAGGCGUAGCGAAAGCGAGUCUUAAUAGGGCGUCUAGUCGCUGGGAAUAGACCCGAAACCGGGCGAUCUAUCCAUGGGCAGGUUGAAGGUUGGGUAACACUAACUGGAGGACCGAACCGACUACCGUUGAAAAGUUAGCGGAUGACCUGUGGAUCGGAGUGAAAGGCUAAUCAAGCUCGGAGAUAGCUGGUUCUCCUCGAAAGCUAUUUAGGUAGCGCCUCAUGUAUCACUGUAGGGGGUAGAGCACUGUUUCGGCUAGGGGGUCAUCCCGACUUACCAAACCGAUGCAAACUCCGAAUACCAAUGAGUACUAUCCGGGAGACAGACUGCGGGUGCUAACGUCCGUAGUCAAGAGGAAAACAAUCCAGACCGCCAGCUAAGGCCCCAAAAUUAUAGUUAAGUGGGAAACGAUGUGGGAAGGCAUAGACAGCUAGGAGGUUGGCUUAGAAGCAGCCACCCUUUAAAGAAAGCGUAAUAGCUCACUAGUCGAGUCGGCCUGCGCGGAAGAUGUAACGGGGCUCAAACCAUACACCGAAGCUACGGGUAUCACGUAAGUGAUGCGGUAGAGGAGCGUUCUGUAAGCCUGUGAAGGUGAGUUGAGAAGCUUGCUGGAGGUAUCAGAAGUGCGAAUGCUGACAUGAGUAACGAUAAUGGGUGUGAAAAACACCCACGCCGAAAGACCAAGGUUUCCUGCGCAACGUUAAUCGACGCAGGGUUAGUCGGUCCCUAAGGCGAGGCUGAAAAGCGUAGUCGAUGGAAAACAGGUUAAUAUUCCUGUACUUCUGGUUAUUGCGAUGGAGGGACGGAGAAGGCUAGGCCAGCUUGGCGUUGGUUGUCCAAGUUUAAGGUGGUAGGCUGAAAUCUUAGGUAAAUCCGGGAUUUCAAGGCCGAGAGCUGAUGACGAGUUACCUUUCAGGUAACGAAGUGGUUGAUGCCAUGCUUCCAAGAAAAGCUUCUAAGCUUCAGGUAACCAGGAACCGUACCCCAAACCGACACAGGUGGUUGGGUAGAGAAUACCAAGGCGCUUGAGAGAACUCGGGUGAAGGAACUAGGCAAAAUGGCACCGUAACUUCGGGAGAAGGUGCGCCGGUGAGGGUGAAGGACUUGCUCCGUAAGCUCAUGCCGGUCGAAGAUACCAGGCCGCUGCGACUGUUUAUUAAAAACACAGCACUCUGCAAACACGAAAGUGGACGUAUAGGGUGUGACGCCUGCCCGGUGCCGGAAGGUUAAUUGAUGGGGUUAGCUAACGCGAAGCUCUUGAUCGAAGCCCCGGUAAACGGCGGCCGUAACUAUAACGGUCCUAAGGUAGCGAAAUUCCUUGUCGGGUAAGUUCCGACCUGCACGAAUGGCGUAACGAUGGCGGCGCUGUCUCCACCCGAGACUCAGUGAAAUUGAAAUCGCUGUGAAGAUGCAGUGUAUCCGCGGCUAGACGGAAAGACCCCGUGAACCUUUACUAUAGCUUUGCACUGGACUUUGAAUUUGCUUGUGUAGGAUAGGUGGGAGGCUUUGAAGCGUGGACGCCAGUCUGCGUGGAGCCAUCCUUGAAAUACCACCCUGGCAACUUUGAGGUUCUAACUCAGGUCCGUUAUCCGGAUCGAGGACAGUGUAUGGUGGGUAGUUUGACUGGGGCGGUCUCCUCCUAAAGAGUAACGGAGGAGUACGAAGGUGCGCUCAGCGUGGUCGGAAAUCACGCGUAGAGUAUAAAGGCAAAAGCGCGCUUAACUGCGAGACCCACAAGUCGAGCAGGUACGAAAGUAGGUCUUAGUGAUCCGGUGGUUCUGUAUGGAAGGGCCAUCGCUCAACGGAUAAAAGGUACUCUGGGGAUAACAGGCUGAUACCGCCCAAGAGUUCAUAUCGACGGCGGUGUUUGGCACCUCGAUGUCGGCUCAUCACAUCCUGGGGCUGAAGCCGGUCCCAAGGGUAUGGCUGUUCGCCAUUUAAAGUGGUACGCGAGCUGGGUUUAGAACGUCGUGAGACAGUUCGGUCCCUAUCUGCCGUGGACGUUUGAGAUUUGAGAGGGGCUGCUCCUAGUACGAGAGGACCGGAGUGGACGAACCUCUGGUGUUCCGGUUGUCACGCCAGUGGCAUUGCCGGGUAGCUAUGUUCGGAAUAGAUAACCGCUGAAAGCAUCUAAGCGGGAAACUAGCCUCAAGAUGAGAUCUCACUGGAACCUUGAGUUCCCUGAAGGGCCGUCGAAGACUACGACGUUGAUAGGUUGGGUGUGUAAGCGCUGUGAGGCGUUGAGCUAACCAAUACUAAUUGCCCGUGAGGCUUGACCAUAUAACACCCAAGCAAUU
rnacentral:rRNA from 1 species